rnacentral:rRNA from 1 species
GACGUAGGAGGCGAGCGUUGUCCGGAUUCAUUGGGCGUAAAGAGCACGCAGGCGGUUUGGCAAGUCGGAUGUACGAAAACCCGAAGCUCAACGUUCGGGCGUGACAUCCGAAACUGCCCGACUAGAGGGUAGGGUAGGGGAGGAUCGGAAGUUCCUGGAUGUAGCGGUGAAAUGCGACAGAUAUCAGGAGGAACACCGGUGGGCGAAGGCGGAUCUCUGGGCCUUACCUGAGCUCAGGUGCGAAAGCCUAGGGGGAGCGAACAGG